CAAUAGCGUAUAUUAAAGUUGUUGCGGUUAAAAAGCUCGUAGUUGGAUUUCUGCUGAGGACGAUCGGUCCGCCCACUGGGUGAGUAUCUGGCUCGGCCUUGGCAUCUUCUUGGAGAACGUUGCUGCACUUGACUGUGUGGUGCGGUAUCCAGGACUUUUACUUUGAGGAAAUUAGAGUGUUUCAAGCAGGCGCACGCCUUGAAUACAUUAGCAUGGAAUAAUAAGAUAGGACCUUAGUUCUAUUUUGUUGGUUUCUAGAGCUGAGGUAAUGAUUAAUAGGGAUAGUUGGGGGCAUUCGUAUUUAACUGUCAGAGGUGAAAUUCUUGGAUUUGUUAAAGACGGGCUACUGCGAAAACAUUUGCCAAGGAUGUUUUCAUUGA
rnacentral:rRNA from 1 species